GUAGUGGUGAUGGUGAUGGUAACAACUCGCUCUAUAUUCCUGGCUGGCCCUCAACAUCUUUCAACCAACAUCAACAGCACAUAUUUGGCCUUGACAGUGUUUUUUUUAUUAUUGUAACUGAUAAAAUCUGUAGAGUCUGUAGUACGACUUAAUAAUGAAAAUGUGUACACCGAGGAAAGGUCAUGUGUGUAUAUAUAGGUAAUAUAUUAUGUGUGUGUGUGUGUGUUUUAUACAUACUGUGUUUAUCACUAACAAGAAAUAACAAUACACGUAACCAUGUUUGCAAUAUGGUGCUUCGCUUACCUAAUUAGCUGAUCGAUAACAGAUGCUAACCUAACCUAACCUAGCAUAACCUAACCUAACCCAAACUAAACUAAAAACUAACAUAACCAAACAUGAGAGAUCUAUGAGUGCUAUGAAAACCCAUGAGGAUAUUAAGUGAGUUGUGAGUGAUGAGUAAUGAGGGACGAGAUGUGGUGGCCAGGGAUGGUGGUGAUACUGGUAGCUGGUCCCCUGUUCGCCCUCCCUCCUGUACACGCACACAUCCCAGUGAUGGAGGAUGAUGAUGUGAUAGAACCGACCCCAGUGGUGGUGAUGGUGGGGCCCUCAACACACCAGGUGAUGGGGUUGGUGAGUGUCCCGCUAGAAGGCAGCAGUGGUGGUGGCGGCAUCUGGCGGAGGGACACCCAGCAGGAGGGUAGUGGUGGUAUGGUCAGGUUCAAGAGAGAGUACAGCCUUGAGGACUUCCUUCUCUGGAUGCCUUCUGGAGAUGGACCGACGGAGGAAUGGCAGCACCGCCCUCGGGACACCUCGUGGAUAAAAGGCGACGUGAUCACCACUACCGUCUUCCUCACCACCACCGUGUACACUACCGUAGUUCAGCCCAGCCUCACCACCCUCUCCACCAGGUACUUGUCUGCCAAGUCUCCUCCAGAUGAUUUCACCUCCAGCGGCACCAACCCCAACCGGAACUCAGGAGGCAAGGAGCUGGGGGAUGGAUCAAGCCACGACUCCACCAGUACCACAUCUAACAACGACAACAACUGUAUUAACCAGACCAACUUGCUGGCACGACCCCAGAGUGACCACCCUCAGUCACGACCCCAGAGUGACUACCCUCAGUCAGGCAGUCCUACAAACCAACUCCCAGGCACCUCCUCCUCUUCCUCCACCUCGAGGGAGAAGAACAAGAGAGAGAAAAAUGAAAGUAAGGAGACUAACUACGUAACAGUGACCCGGACAAUCACCACACCUCCCCCUACGCUCACCACCACCCACCCCUCGGAGGCUGUCUACGAUGCUACAGACCUCGUCCGUCCCUCCAUUGAAUACCCUGGACCGUCUGCCACCAUCGUCAACCCAUACGCCACGCCUAUCAUCUCCUCGACACAUCUUCCAGGACUGACAGUCACUACAAAACUACCCCCAGCAGCAGGAGAGACAACCAUCAACACCCAGCCAUCACUAUCUUCCUCUACUGACACAUUCAUCCACAUUACACCUACUGCAACGCCUGGAGGAGGGACUAGAGGAGAGCACCCUGAAGGUGGAGUAGUACAGGGCACUCCUGAGUUACCGGACCCCACAAUACUUACUGCUGCCCCCGAGACUUUGAGUAAUGAAGAGUAUCCAACCCCUGAGACGGUGACACCAUUCUCUAGUCCUGGCGGUGUCACGCCCGACGUCGUUGUGCCAGUGGGAUCGCCAGGAACUACCACUGAAGAGGACGUCUCAGUUACCACAGUGGCAGAGGACCAUAACACCCACCACCAUCAGGAGGAGAGACGCCCCUUACCCAGUGUAGAUAUCACAGUUCCUAGUUUUCCUGAUACUGAGGCAACAAGAGGAGGCGUUGCUACAGAAAGCACCAAUAAUGACGUGCCUGACGAAACAGAGACUCGCCCUUGUGUAGAAGGUUCUCCUGAUGCUGUAGAUGAUCACACUCAGGAUUCACCUGACGAAGUCGUCCCUAUCACCACCCCUUCAGGUCUAUUUACUCCUUCCCCCACAGGACUGGACCACCCUCCUCCUCCUCCAGACACCUUCCGGCCAAUGUUUGAGAGGAACACUACCAUCUUUCAUGAGAUAGAGUUGUUUGAUUUGACAACGCCGCCAUCUGACCGCAAUGAAUCCAUCUUGUGGGGAACCGACACAAUGGAUGAUGGUAACACAGCGGAUGAUGGUAACACAGCGGAUGAUGGUAACACAGCGGAUGAUGGUAACACAGCGGAUGAUGGUAACACAGCGGAUGAUGGUAACACAGCGGAUGAUGGUAACACAAUGGAUGAUGGUAACACAGCGGAUGAUGGCAACGCUGCGGAUGAUGGUAACACAGCGGAUGAUGGUAACACAGCGGAUGAUGGCAACGCUGCGGAUGAUGGUAACACAGCGGAUGAUGGUAACACAGCGGAUGAUGGUAACACAGCGGAUGAUGGUAACACAGCGGAUGAUGGUAACACAGCGGAUGAUGGUAACACAGCGGAUGAUGGUAACACAGCGGAUGAUGGUAACACAAUGGAUGAUGGUAACACAGCGGAUGAUGGCAACGCUGCGGAUGAUGGUAACACAGCGGAUGAUGGUAACACAGCGGAUGAUGGUAACACAGCGGAUGAUGGUAACACAGCGGAUGAUGGUAACACAGCGGAUGAUGGUAACACAGCGGAUGAUGGUAACACAAUGGAUGAUGGUAACACAGCGGAUGAUGGCAACGCUGCGGAUGAUGGUAACACAGCGGAUGAUGGUAACACAGCGGAUGAUGGCAACGCUGCGGAUGAUGGUAACACAGCGGAUGAUGGUAACGUAACCUUGACAGUCCCUAUGUUUGUUUAUUCUGAAUCGGUGGACCAGGAAACUGGUCUGGUGUUUAACAUAACAGAAAGUGAAACUUUACCACCAGUCCAAGAUACCAGUGGUGGUGACGGAGGUUUAGUGAUCAGUGUUCACCCUCUGCCACCCACUACUGUCUCGGCUCAGGACUACACCACUAUGGCCCCUCCUGAUGAAGAGAUAGUCACACCUUCUGUCCCUGAGUUCAUGUCCACGACGGGGAGUGUUGAAGCAGUGGACCCCAUACCUACAGGUGAUGAGGUCAUACAAGAGGGCGAUAAUACCACAGUUUGGGAGGGCGUCUUCAUCUAUGAAACUUUUACUUCUGACUCACCAACUUCAGAAGUGUUCACCAGUGACUCUCCUCCACCACUAGAGUCAUCACAGGAAACUCCCACUGAGGUUCCUGAGACUAUUAGCUCGGUCAUAUACACAGACCAACAACUAGAUGUACACGAGUCCUCUACACCAUCAUGGGAAGGAACUACACCAUCACAACCUUCCUCCACAGAUGAAGAGUUGACAGUGUUGACCCACACAAGUGUUCCUAUAGCUUCCACGACAGCCACAGCCCCAGUCUCCAUCACUGUGUCCUUUACCAGCUCCAGGGAGCCCGGGAUGAUCUCCACGCCCAGCACCACAACGCUGCCUGUCAUCCACACCACAAUAAAGUCCGUCAGUCUGUCUACCACUACUGAGAAGAGUUCUUUAACUUCUCCUGCAGGAACCAUACCAGCAACUCCCCGGAUGACGGAACAUAUUACAGGACCUCAGUUCAGUUCACCCAGUCCCAGCAACAGAGCUACAGUUCCACUUGAUCAGAAGUACUGGGUCCGGACAGUGCUGGAGGGGCCACCUCCACAAGACAACUCCUCUCAGCUGUACUGGGCCAAGGUAGAGUCCGAUCUAAGUGGGGUCUAUAGACUGGCCUAUGAGCGCAAAUUUGCCAGACUGUACAAAGCGCAACAAAGAAAAGAUGUUGAUUUGCUUUAUAACACUAAGAUUGAUAUGGCUUUUGCCUCUACUGAGUCACCCAGCGUGACCACAAUGAGUGACCUGUUUGAGAAUUACACCAUAAUCAUCGCCAGGGGGAAGAGAGAUGUGACGGACUCACCUGCCAGUAAACACACACGACCCGUGAGGACACUUUUAGCAGACGUCAACGCUCACGCCGAGCCUCCUAAAAGGUUCAGGACUGCCCCGGGACUCCUGAGAAGGAGAAUAUUAGUCCCUAUCCACACUGUGGCAGUGAAAGAUGAAAAGCCAGUGAGAAAUAUAAACCAGAAAACACUACACGUGAUCACACCUUCUUACAACCCACACACUCGCACCGCAAGACGAAAACGUUGGCUUGAAGGUUAUGUUAAACAUAAACCAAAGUCACCUGAACGAAUGCAGUCACUUUAUACAUCACAGGCACGCAGGAGGCGUACUGCAGCCAAUCAGGUGAAGGUGCGCCUCCAAAACGUAACCUACGACAACACCACAGACCUAACGGAGCUGGUAUACACCGUGUUUGAUGGCGAGGAACCUAUACUGGCGACGGAAGCUGUCGUCUACAUGUCCGAAGUGAACGACAUGGAGAUGGCCAUAAUGAUGGACCAGGUGGUCAAGAUUAAAGCUGAAGAGUAUCUACGUGGUCCAUCGCCGCCACAGAGGCAGGGGACUCUGGUGUAUGGGAUCAUAGGGGGUGUGGUGGGGACGGUGAUGCUGCUCGUGUUCCUCAUCUGGCUCAGUGCCUUCCUCUACAAAAGACACAAGAACACUAGAGAAGAACUACGACCGGACUCUGAGGCAGCAUCACCGAGGAGUCAGCUGAGCACCAAUGCCUACACCGGUCACAUCAACAUGGGCUUCACCCCCAGGGACGAGAAGCUAGAAGCAGUGCCGCUACCUUCGACCUCCCGUGACCUGGAUGAUGACCCGUGUUCUUCCUCUCCUACUGGGUCACAUGACAGCCUCAUCAGCAGACCCAAACAAGGUCUUGUGUUGACAGGUCCAUCACUGGGACGCCACCACAGCCAGGAGGAGGAAGACGACAAGAAAUCAGGGGGUGACUUUUCUAAAGAUGAAGAUUAUAACAUCACAGAGGAGGUAACAGACGGUCGCCGGCUGGAGAAGCAAGGAAUGUCAGUAGAAGAACCCCUGUACAGCUCCCCCAACCCUGUCAACGUCCAGUACCAACCUUCUCACUCCAUCGACUCCAAGUACGACACUACACACUCAGAGUUGACCUCAAGUGACCUCCAAUAUGACCUCACUAACCAACUGAUAUCCAACAUGAAGCAGAGUGCCGAUAGGUUCACUCACAAGGACAAGGGCUCCAUCUUCUUGCCUCCACCGCUCCUCCCACCUCCCAAGGGCUUUGGCAAGGCUCAAUAUUCACCUUUCAUCCCAGGGACGUCCCUUCCUAGGUUCCUGCCACCACCAAGACUUCAUAAACAGGCACAUAUAAAGCUGGGUCAAGGUACUCCUUCUCUGAUCCAGGCUUAUGACUAUGACCCCGAGGCGCCUCCCAUCCCUCCCAGAAACUACACGCGGGAGGAAGCCGACUUGCCACCCCUAGGACAAGGCCACACAUCCCCACUACGUCCCCAAAUGAAGGAUGCCCAGGUGGAAGCCCAUGUGGAGAAUGAGGCUAAUGAAUCAUCUGGGAGCAUUGAGGAGAGAGUUCGGCGGACAUCUGAUUCGUCAACACAUCCGUCAGAGUCAGCUGGGUCAGAGGGGAGCAGUGCUCCUCACAUAGGUCGUCUCCGUCGCCGCUUCCAUGACCUCCUAGAUGAUGCCUUCUCCCUCUUGAAUGGCCAACGCCCUGGGGAUAAAGUCACCCCCCUCACAAGCCCAUCCCCAACCAGGACAGGUCGAUCAAGGUCGGCAGCAGUGCACCACAGGGGCCCAACUCAAGAGGCGGUGGAGGGGGAGGAUAGUGGUGAUGGUGCUGGACGUCCCUGGUCAGCUGCUGCAGUACACACUUCCACCACCACUGCUUGGAGGAACAACCAGGUGGUGGGUGUAGUACCACUGGAGGACAGUAACACAUCACCUAAAUCUGCAUGGGGAGAUGGUGCUGGUCGAUAUGGUGGAAGACCUGGUAGUGCUCGACCUGGUAGUGGAAGACCCGGUAGUGCUAGACCUGGUAGUGCUCGACCUAGCAGCGGAAGACCUGGCAGCGGUCGUCCAGGCAGUGGUCGAAGUGCACGAAGCAUCACCCCGGUCAACCAUCCACCUUCACCAGAUCGAACAGAUGGUGCAUAUGGAGGAUCAGAGGAACCUUUGGACCCAGACACAGGCCUGCGCUCUUCAGACCCUGCCGUCCCUCUCAUCAAGGCCAUCAAGGAGGAGCUGAGACGCUUCAAGUCCACCAUCAGUACCGAGUCCUCCAACAUCUGAUGAGGCUUUUAACAUUAACCCGUAAACAGUAGCCAUCAUCAGCAGAAGUUAGCUACAAGGACAGCCGCCAUCAUCAGUGAAUGUCCCAUUUCCUUACGUUCCUUUAAUAUGUACAGUACAAUGAUAUCUUUCUGGAAGGUACAUGAGACAAACAUUCACUCUUGGAAUAAAAAAUGUCGGGCAUUUCCAUUCUGUGGUAACGAUACAUUUAAAAAUGAAAUUCCAGAUUACUGUGGCUGGUGUUCCCCUUCACCUUGCAAUGACAUUAUGGAAGCUACGCCAUAUAAACAUUGUUCAUAUAGUAUGUGCCUAGCAGACUUAUCACAACACUGUGUUCACAAGAAGCCUCAGAGAAUUGUAAAUUUCUUACAAGUGGGCAGUACAAUCCUCCUCCAAGUGACUAACUCACUGUGUAUCCUCUAAGUAGUUGUUAUAUGUACAGUAGUGGUCUACUUCAGAAAUGUAGUACUACGGAAAGUCUUGUUAGGUGCAAGUAGUAAUCUCCGUAUUCUUUUUAAAUGCGAUGAUUUAAUUUAGAUACGCAGUACUUUCAUGGUUCUUCCAAAUCCCGCGUGGACGUCCUUUAGUGUAACAAGAUAAUGGCUGUUGUUGAAACUUGACUGCAUUUAUCUAAGCACUAGUGGGUUACCUUACCAUGUUUCAGUUGCUUUGAUUUUAAGUCGAGCUUUAUUCCGUAGAUUUGAACAUGUAAGAAAUGAGCUGAAAUGAGGAGUUUUUGGUACUGUACAUUCUUAGUCCAGUUAUAUGGACUUUGAAAUUGAAGAAGACUUUUUUCAAUAUAUGGCAAAUACCUGUGGAUGAACCUAAGAAAACAUGAACACUUUAACCCACAUAGAAUUACUGAGUAAACUUAUAAUAAGUUUGGGAACCUUGGCAAUGAUGUUGUUGUAGUUGGCAGAGAAGUGAGGAAUGUCCUCGGGUAUGAACUUCCAAGAGAAGGCAGUGUAUGGUUGGUUAAUGAUGGUGUGAUGAUAACCACAUCAACGUGUCAUCAAAACCUAAGUCAUUCACAUAUAUCUAAAGAAGAAGAGACAUACAGUAUCUGCAACACAAGUAUCUGUAGGUUGUGGUAGAGCCUGUAAAAUAAUAACGCAUUGGGAACAACACGACAGGGGGACCAAGUAAGGAUGUCUGUCUGUAUGCGAUGGUUAGUUCUCUCCGCAAACUCUCAGUUGUAUUGAAGUGAUGAGAGACCAAACAAGUUUUAUGUCUUCAACUCUGACAAAAACAAUCACAUGGUAGAGACUUGAGUAGACUUAAGAUGAUCUGAAAUAACUUAGAGAGAGAUGUAUGACUGAGGAAAUAUAUAAGUCUGGUUUUAGUGUACAGUUUUGUGGUGACAAUAAUGUAUGUUACUAUGAUGAUUAUACUGUACUGUUAUACCUCUGUGACAGUUUCAUAUCAGGUUGUGUAGGUCAUAGUAAACGUAUCAUUGCCUUUUUAUUACUAUUCAUAGGUUACUCCUAUAUAGACCAUUUUUCUAGAUAUUUAUUGGAAUGCUGAUGUUAUCUCUUCAUAAAACUCCAGCUCGUAUUUUGUGUGUCAAGUUAAUUCGAUUUAAUUGUUUAACAUCUGUCACAAGCUGAUUUUUCAAGACUAUUUUUAAGAUACCCAUUUGUAUAAUAUAUGAGUGUUGAUGAUAGGCUUAACCUCCCCGGGCAAGCUCUACCGAUCAUUAGUUUUACCAUUAUUGAUUUUCCUUUGUGAGUUUUUAAUGUUUGACAAAUGUUGGUGUAAUAUUUCUUUUUGAAUUAAACCUUUAUGACCAUUAUUCUGUUAGCUUUGGUGGUCACCUCUACACUAUGUAUAAGAACAUUGCCAGUGGAAUAUAUUAAUAUACUGUACAGGGUGUCCAUAAAUUAUGUGACUCAUUAUAAAACUUAAUAACCUCAACAAAAUAAUACUGUACUGUAGAUAGUGCACAGGUGGAGAUCUACUGAGACAAGGAUGAUUCUAGUACUGUACUGUAUUGUAUAAUAAAACCAGUGACUUGGAACAAUCUGCCCGACAGUGUUGUGACAGCACCAAGUGUGAGCUCAUACAAGACCAGACUUGAUCAAUGCUGGAGCAGGUUCAGGUACAUUCAGGAGCCAGUGCAUGCCCAGCACUUGCCAACAGUGUGUAACAGAGACGUGACCAACCACCCAAGUGGCUAACGAGUUGAUCAGUGGUGAAGAGGAUAAAAGUAAAAGUGUUCUGUCUAUAAUGUUUUUAAGGUUAUUAAAUUUUAUAAUGAGUCGGAUAAUUUAUUUGAUUGUUUUUCAAGUGACAUUUUUCAAAAGUAAGAAUAAACUUUGCACCUUGAGCUCUGCCUCUUCUUUUAUAUUUCAUCAGUUCCAUUACUUGAUCAAUUACUGUUACAACAAUUCAUUUAAUAGCUUUUUAUAUUUUUUGUUUUUCAUAUGCCAGGUUAUUGUGCCAAAUACUGUACUGUCUACCUUCACUAUUAUCCUCUGUUUCCAAGUAGAGUGGACUUUUCCCUUACAUAUACUGAGGCAGUGUUUGUGAAGGUCAUCAAUGGCUGUCAGUCAUGUGCAGCUUCUCUUAUACCACUGAUUAAUUAUUACUAUUAUUAUUUAAGUUAUUAUUAUUAUUACAGGGUAUUAUUAUUAUUAUUAAUACUAUUACUGUAUUACUAUUAUUAUUAUUAUUAUUAUAACUACUAAUUUUAUUGAUAUUGACUAUAAUUUCAAUAAUAAUACAUAUUUUAUACUGUAUUAAUAAUGUUUGGCAGGCAGCAUCUGUCAUGUUAAUAUCAAGAAACAUUUUACUGUAUGAGGACAAAAUACUUCCGUACUGUGCUAUCAUGUGUGGGAUAUCAACGAGCAGUUCCAGAAAUGACUUCACCAGCCUUACCCCUUUAUGGGAACUGUUAUCCCAAUGUCCAAUUUUAAUGUAGUUUGGGUUUAAAGGUUAUAUUAUACAGAGUGUCCAUGAUUUAUCUGUAAAACUUAAUAACCUCAAAGCAUUAUAGAUAGGACAGGAUGCACAAGAGGAAGUUUACCGAGAUAAGAAAAAACUGAUGAGGUUUUUGCCAAGUAAUAAUAUAACUGGUGUGUUCUUUCUUAUAGAUUUUUUAAGCUCUUAAGUUUUAACAUCAGUCAGAUAAUUUAUGGACACCUUUUUUAACAUUCUUGAACUUUCAUAAUUUGACAGCAAAUUUGGCUUUAACUGAAUUUUUUUUUAAUCUGUCCAGCCCAUUCCCUGUGAGUCAGCCUGCCAGACACUUGGUCAGAGUCAUAAUUUUCUAUGGACCAAAGUUUUAUGUCUUGAGAGUACAAUACUGUUCUGUAGUGGACUCACUGUUAGGCAGAAAAUCUCUCAACAGACAAUAUUUUGGAUGCAAUUAGUGUACAAAUAUGUGUAACUCGAGUUAGGCAGAUAAACUUUUAUCAAAACGUUAUAUAUAGCUUAAUGAAAUACUGUAGAAUUUUGUAGGAAAACUUUAAUUUGGGUGUACAGCAAACAUAGCAUUUUUAUGAUAUUCUCUUCACUCUUACAAGCCUGGGUGGCACUUUGGUGUCUGGGAUCAAGAGUUAUGCACAGUUUCCCUUCAUUCACUGCCAUGCUUUCUCUCUCUCUCUGACUUGUGUUCCCCUUCCUCAAUAAACUUUCAAGAUAUUCAUUCAUCCAUUAAUAUACCAAGAGGAAAAUUAUAUAGAAAUUUUGGAUCAAAUGAAGAGCAGGAGAAAUAUGGGGACAAAAGGAGGGAGUGUUGCAAAACAAGUGUAAAAAAUUGCAGGAAAUGGUUAUACUGUACAAUAAGUAGGGACACUAAACACACCCAGUACAGAAUGAAUCCUAAACCUGUACAGUAUUUCUAAGGAUAAAAUGGCACUCUGUAAUGUGUAGCUCACUCCAGCCUUUCCUGCCUAACAGUUGAUAUAAAACACUGUAGAAUACCAGCACCAAAUAAAUAUGUAUUUGAAUGCUGAACAACUUAUUUUAAUUUAUUUAUUUUUCUCCAUAGAAAUUAUUACCAUUGAGUUUCUUUGUCUUUCUGUCUGUCUGUCUCGUGCUCUGGUGGAGACUUGCUGGUAAGACUUGAUGUUAACAUCAAUAUCAUUAUUCACCUUCUGUUGUUAAUGUUUCUUCAAGCUCUCUACUCUUCCUGAGCUGUUAGAUUGUUCCAACUUGAUCAUCUGAACUCUCUUUAAUAUAAAACCUAAUGUUUGUAGCCAGUCUUAAUAAUGAGCUUUAUAAAAACAUACAAAUGAAGACAGGACUGAACACAUUAGCUCUUCUGUGAUGUUCAUUCCUAAAAUGUAUUUGGUGUUCUGACCAUCCAAAACCAAUAUCAACAGAUGCUUAACAAACCACUGGAUUCAAAGCUUCAUCUACUGUUUUUUGUUUAAUAUUAUUUUGGGGUUAGUCUCUUCAAGUCUAAGCAUUUGAAUCUUAUUAUUUCAUAGGGAAAGGGUCCAUGUAUUGUUCUUGGUCAAUAGUGCAGUAUCCUAUAAUUUAUUUGAGCCAUAGUUAACAUGUAUUCCUGUCUUGCUGAUAAUUAUCAUAUUCCAAGGAAUAGUAAUCCCUACUAUCUCCCUGUUAACGUGUGUAGCACUGGUAGGUGAACAGUAUAAAUCUUUUCCGUCCACAGUUUAACACCGGACACACUAACCCUAUGUACUGUACUGUACUCAAUGACCAGUUCGACGGUCAGUCUUGCUUUCUUUACCUGCAUUAAUCUGUAUCACCUGACAAUCACACUGUUGGGCAUGUGGUCUUGGGACAACUGACAAUUGUAUUUAAAAAGUGAUAAGAGAGGUUGGUCAAGGUGUCUGAAGGACAUCUUAAUGUAAUUUAUAUUAUCUUGGAUAAAUAAAAUGUUUAGAUUA
rnacentral:misc_RNA from 1 species